GGGGCUGAUUCUGGAUUCGACGGGAUUUGCGAAACCCAAGGUGCAUGCCGAGGGGCGGUUGGCCUCGUAAAAAGCCGCAAAAAAAUAGUCGCAAACGACGAAACCUACGCUUUAGCAGCUUAAUAACCUGCUUAGAGCCCUCUCUCCCUAGCCUCCGCUCUUAGGACGGGGAUCAAGAGAGGUCAAACCCAAAAGAGAUCGCGUGGAUGCCCUGCCUGGGGUUGAAGCGUUAAAACGAAUCAGGCUAGUCUGGUAGUGGCGUGUCCGUCCGCAGGUGCCAGGCGAAUGUAAAGACUGACUAAGCAUGUAGUACCGAGGAUGUAGGAAUUUCG
rnacentral:tmRNA from 1 species